GUGGGGAAUAUUGGGCAAUGGGCGAAAGCCUGACCCAGCAACGCCGCGUGAAGGAAGAAGGUCUUCGGAUCGUAAACUUCUAUCCUUGGUGAAGAUAAUGACGGUAGCCGAGAAGGAAGCCCCGGCUAACUACGUGCCAGCAGCCGCGGUAAUACGUAUGAGGCAAGCGUUGUUCGGAAUUAUUGGGCGUAAAGGGCAUCUAGGCGGGAUAUUAAGUCAGGUGUGAAAGCCAAGGGCUCAACCCUUGAACUGCAUCUGAUACUGGUAUUCUUGAGUUCGGAAGAGGAAGGCGGAAUUCCCGGUGUAGCGGUGAAAUGCGUAGAUAUCGGGAAGAACACCGGUGGCGAAGGCGGCCUUCUGGUCUAGGACUGACGCUGACAUGCGAAAGUGUGGGGAUCAAACGGGAUUAGAAACCCUUGUAGUCC
rnacentral:rRNA from 1 species